GGGCCUGAGUCGUGUAAUAAACCAAAAAACCUCUGGGCCAUCGAGACACAGCUCUCACCUAAGCUUCUGCCAUAUUGUAAUAGUGAGUUCUAACAAGGAAGCUUGUCGAGUAAAACACUAAUAUUCAUCCCCCUCCUCCUGUACUGCUGACCGGCAGCCAUUUUAAACACUAAUAUCCAUCCCCCUCCUCCUGUACUGCUGACCGGCAGCCAUUUUGAAACUCGUUGUAGUUAAACACUAAUAUCUUCCCCCUCCUCCUGUACUGCUGACCGGCAGCCAUUUUGAAACUCGUUGUAGUUAAACACUAAUAUCUUCCCCCUCCUCCUGCACUGCUGACCGGCAGCCAUUUUGAAACUAGUUGUAGUUAAACACUAAUAUCUUCCCCCUCCUCCUGUACUGCUGACCGGCAGCCAUUUUGAAACUCGUCGUAGUAAAACACUAAUAUUCAUCCCCCUCCUCCUGUACUGCUGACCGGCAGCCAUUUUGAAACUCGUUGUAGUUAAACACUAAUAUCUUCCCCCCCUCCUCCUGCACUGCUGACCGGCAGCCAUUUUAAUGACAACCUUUCCUGGUAGAGCAGGGAGAAGUCUCCCUACCAGCGGACAGAUGUGGUUCUAUCUCUGUGGAUGUUUGUGUAAUAUUUGCUGUUAAAAAUGAAGGAUAUUUUGUCAAAGGGAAAAAGACUGGUUGUGUGUUUUUUGUCUCCGGUGUUCAGUGUAUUUGCAGAUGAUAACGUUAAUAUAACAGUAUACAACAGGUUCAUGUUAAUUUCACUAAGCCUGGGUUCCAUCGAAGGGAAGAGUCCCUGUUUGAUUCCACCAUUGUGAUUCUACUGGUCUCUAGUGGUUUCUACUGGUCUCUAUGGGUUUCUACUGGUCUCUAGUGGUUUCUACUGGUCUCUAGUGGUUUCUACUGGUCUCUAGUGGUUUCUACUGGUCUCUAUGGGUUUCUACUGGUCUCUAGUGGUUUCUACUGGUCUCUAGUGGUCUCUAGUGGUCUCUAUUGGUUUCUACUGGUCUCUAGUGGUCUCUACUGGUCUCUACUGGUUUCUACUGGUCUCUAGUGGUCUCUAUGGGUUUCUACUGGUCUCUAGUGGUCUCUGCUGGUCUCUAGUGGUUUCUACUGGUUUCUACUGGUUGCUAGUGGUCUCUAGUGGUCUCUAGUGGUUUCUACUGGUCUCUAGUGGUCUCUACUGGUCUCUACUGGUCUCCAGUGGUCUCUGCUGGUCUCUAGUGGUCUCUACUGGUUUCUACUGGUUUCUACUGGACUCUAGUGGUCUCUACCGGUUUCUACUGUUUUCUAGUGGUUUUUACUGGUCUCUAGUGGUCUCUACUGGAUGUCCACCUGAACAUUUUUCUGACACUGCAGUGUUGCACUUUCUUAUCUACAAAGUAGAUUAUUAUACGUUUUGAUAAUCAAAUUAUUUCUAUAAUAAAAAAAUAAAAAAUAAAAACAUCUGAAUAU